CAACUGGCCCGUGAUCCUUACGGCGAUCACAACCACAUUAAUCAGCUUAAUUAUUUUAGGUUUAUCCUCCAUUUUGACCAAGACCCGAUAGUGUACCCUACUAUGAACUUAUGCCCAUGACCGAGGACGCGGCUAUCGAUAGUUUAAAUACACUCUGCAGAGGUAGCACACUGUACCCACACCACAGAACCCAUGGCCUCGUCAUCCCAUUCGGGUGGACCAACGGCGUUCCGACAAAACCGAUAUAUUGUCAUGACACUCUCUUGGCCACUCCGACUAACUCCCCACUGGGCUAGUCGUGGGUGGCCCCAUGUCUACCUCAAGACACAUCGACCACCGUCGUGGCCACGAUCCAGUCUCGGACCUGGUACCAAAAACUUAACAAUGGGCACACAAGGCUUAUGUCCGCCUACCUGAUCAGGGUAGCGCGCGCCCAUAACAUUCCCUAGUUGGAGGCACCGACCAGAGGCACGACAAUAGACCGCGUUAAGUCCGUCCCAUACCGACAAAUGUGGUUGCACUGGAAAAAAGUUCGAUUUGGCGGCACUAUGACUCGAUCCCAUCGAUGAAGGAGGAGGUUUUUCAUUAUUAAUUCAUUUCAAUUCCUUCUCCAUCAUCAUGAACAUGAAUGCAACAAUGAGCAUACAUCAUACAGAUACUUUAAACAAAACAUCGAGCUUCUCAAGUGAACACUUACAGCAUAAAUAACAUGACAAUACCAAGUACUAACAUAUCCACUGUGCAUUACCAUCAUCAUAGAAUUUUAUAACGAUGACAUGAAAAUAAAUUAGAGUAGAGACAUGGCAUCAUAAAUAAGAACAUUCUAAUUAUCAUGGCAAGAAGUAGCAUGAAAACACAAGCAUGCAUGACAGGCAUAACAAAAUAACUGCAGAUGAAAACAAGAAGAAAUAACUGCAACUACACACACACAAGGUGCAAGAAAAGUCAACACGCAAGUUCGGGGCUCAUGAUAAGAGGUUGGCUUGCCUGGGGGCGACAAAUACUCCGGGAAGAAGUGAGAAACGAUCUCAGAAAAAUUUGCCGAAAACAUUUCUCUCCCGGAGGGGGCUGUUUAUGGACAAGGGCAAAAUGGUCAUUUUUACAGUGUCAAACCAUAGUGAAAAUGAUCUCAUUGGAACGGGCUCGACGAAACAAAAAUGUGGACGUUGGAUUUACCUCAAUCGGAGUUACGGUUGUCGAGAUACGAAGGGUUGAAGUUCAGGGACCUAUCGGUGAAAAUAUUUCAGCAAAUAGGCCCCUGGAGGAAAAAAAUUAUCGCGCAUUUCGGAGAUUAUGCGUUCGGUCAGGGAAAACGGCUCGCGGCGGGGGCGCUUCCACUUGAAUGAUGUGGCGACGACCGGGUCAAAGGGCAGAGGCGGGGCCGGGCUCCAGUGCCGCUGACAGGUGGGGCCACGGGGCCCGCCUGGCCAGGUCAACGCGCCAGCCGGGCCGGCUCCUUCUCCUUCGCUCAAUGCGUGCCAGGCCGAGGGGAGACGCCCGCCCCAACGCUGCUCGUCGGCGCGUCCGGCCACGGCAGGCGACGGGCGACCUACCCACGGGAUCAGGAGGAGGAGGCGCAGCCCAGGGUAGUCUCCAUUGCCGGCGACGAGCACUGGAGAGGGAGCAGCAGGGGCCGCUACGGAGAGGAGCUUUGGCCUCCAGCGAGGAUGGAGCUAUGGUGGGGGAACGGAGAGGCUGAGGCCACGGGGAGGCUCUCCAGAGCAUGGGGGAUGCGGUUGUGGAGGAGAAACGGCGAGGGGAUACCCUGGUCGCCAGAACCAGAGAAGACCAAGGCAGUGGCCAUGGCGAUGGGGAGGGGCCAGAGAAGCUCCGGGCGAGGGGUAGAGCUGCGGGAGGCUAGUGGACUGUGAGGGGGGCUCGGGAGGGCUACUUAUAAUCGCGGGGAGAGCUCGAGGGGGAGGGGGCAAGGUGGCACGCAGCGGGCCACGUGUCCGUGCGUCAGCGACAGCGCAGGGUCGGCAGUUGCGGCCAAGGCUCGCGGGAGGCGGUGGGAAGGCGACGAGGAGGGUCACGACGAGCAGCAGAGGCUCACGGAGACGAGGGGCACUCGCGGACGGGAGGGAGAAGAAAAUAGAAGAGAGGAAGAAGACGAUGCCCACGGACGCACUGCUCGACCCUUGGCACAGCUCGUCGGAGAAGCAAACGAAGGGGGAGCGGGGUCCAGGCGAACGAAGACGAUGAUGCGGAGCUACUGGACAUUAAUGGCGAGGUCAGGCACAGUCGGAGCAGCGCUGCCGACGAGAACAGUGGCUAGACCACCGUUUUGGCUGGCUGCACUCGUGGUCACCACUGGCAUAGCGCACUCUGGGUUUUUUUACUGAGGUUAAACCAUGGCUAACGCAUAGUCCUUCGAAGAUAGAUUGUCACUAUGGUAAAUAGACCGGCAGAGACAAAGGGAGAUGAGUAAACCAUGCUCCACAUGUUUGUUGUUGCAAACUUGGCAACAUGUUGGAGAUAAAACCAGAGAGGUCAAAUGGUAGAAUUGAUGUCUAGGAGGCUUAGGGUAGCAAGGACUACGGUCCUGGGAGUUUUGAGGUCAUUAGGACACAUAUUUAGCAUAGUUGCUUAACAACUGCUAAAGUAUGUCCAGAAACUAGAUGAUGAACAGGCACUCACUAGUAGUGUUGGAUUGAGCUAUAACGUGGCAAAUCCUCAUGAUUUGGUCAUAAGUAGAUGCUGUAAAAAGAUCACACCAAAUGGACUUACCAAAUUGGUACUUUCUUCACAAGCAUUACUUUUGACCAGAAACUUUGGAAACUUCUAGGAAAAUAUUGGCUAAAUGAAAUUAGCUAAACUCUUGGGUAGAUGGGUUAUAUGGAUAGGAGAAGGCUUGGAAUUAUUUUCAGCCAUAAUGGAGCAAGAUAAAAUAUACUUGCUUAACAAACUGAAAAUUUGGACAGGAUACAAGAAUUGCUCCUGUGCUCACAUAGCUCAAUGAAAUGAGCUGAAUUUGGGUUAAGGAUAAUGAUUUGGGAUAAUUAAGAGGAUGGAAAAGUUUCAUCCCAUUUGGAAACUCUAAGAAGGUACUUCCUUCACAAAGUGACAAUCUGGUCAGAAACUUUGAAAAACUGCACAGGGAUCUAGGAUGAUUGGAUUUAGCUCAUAUUUUGUAUCCAUGGGUUAUUUAUCAAUAUUAAACACCCUGCCAAUUUUCAGCUCAAAUGGAAUUAGUAAUAAAGCACUUCCUUUGCAAACUUUCAGAGAAGGUAGAAACUUGCAUUGGAUCAUGUGCUCAAUUUUUGAUCUGUGGAACAUGAGAUAAAGAUGGAACUAGUGAUUAUAUAACAAGGAGAAGCUCCACAAUUUAUGUGAGAAUUUUCCCUGCUAUAAAAAUAGUAGUUCCUUUAGAAAAUGGCAGAAAUGCAAUAUUGGCAUUAAAUAGGAAAAGGCAAUUUUCCUUAUUUAAUUAUGGCCAAUAUAUUUUCCAGAGAUUGGAUUAGGCAUAAUUAUCAACUCCACCAAUUCACAUGAAUUUAGGAGAUGGCUAGAUAUGUCUUUUGAUUUUAUUCCUCAGAAAGGCAAGAAAAGGAAAAAAAUCACCAUUCAAAAAUAUUGCAUGGGACUUGGCAAUAUUUUUGCAUACACAAGGUUGAAAAGGAUAGGAGGGUCUCUAGGAAUAGAUGGGUGAUCAACAGAUCAAGGAAAAUGAUAGCCCCUUUGAAAUCACAAAGGGCAUAUCCAAAUCCCAAAAUUUGGAAUUAGGGUUUGAGAGGGUUAAAGAUGAUGCAACUGAGGUCUUGCCCACUAAAAAAUACAUGAGCAAGGUUUGAAAGGUUGGAAAUGACAGGAAAUCUCAGAGUCAUCCAACAAACUCAGGAGAAAGAUUUUGAAAAUGAGUGCCAGGAAGGAAUAACAGCACAAAAAUUGAUAACCCAGUUUUGGGGCUGUUACAAACCUUCCCCCCUUAAAAGAAUCUCGCCCUCGAGAUUCCUAGGGUUACAGCACAAAGAAAAGAUAACCACUCCAGGGAAAAGAAUCUAUGGGUUAAAAUUUAACCCUUUGGUCAAAUUCAAACGAGUUGGGGCACCGAUAAUUGGUACACCCAGGAAGAGAUAUGGGCAAACACGGUUAUAUCCAUGGCUAGGGGCACUCGGGAUCAAACUCUCGAAAAAUUGCUAGAUGCACCCAGUGAACAGUGGACUCACCUGCUGACACUUGGGUCCAGGGCCCACUGGUAGCCUCCUUCUUCUACCUCUGACUAGCUGCUUCUCCUACGUUGCUGCUUCGCGUGCGGUUUGGCGCAGCGUGCAUCUAGCUCGUAGGGCGAUGAGGACCCUAGUGCCGUAGUGCACGGCGUGCACGGCGCCGAUGCAGCGAGCACUCACGUUGCGGGCCAGCACCUUGUCGGCACUGCUCACGGAUUCGCCUCCUGGACGCCGGUGAUCGGGCGACGAGCGAGUUUCCUGGACUCCGCUCACCGUACACCGGGGUUGGGCUAUAAAAACGGCAGCGCGGCUCGCUUCCAACACACAAACACAAUUCCACUCUACUACCUCUUUGGUUUGGGCGAGAUCGAGCCGAGCUCCUUUGGCGAGGAGGUGUUCUUGGUGGCGCUACGGUUGUUCCUCGCGGCACUGCUGGGCACGCUGGUCGGCUCGUCGAUCCUCCUGGUGAUUCUCAUCAGGAACGAGCGAGCUCGAGACAAUGCGCGGCUGGUGGCUCGAGGUGUGGAAGAAGAUGGCCCACGGGGUGGUCCUCCGCCACGCUUGGUUCUCCGUCGCUUCGCACCGGUGGAGUAAUCGUGUGUUGCGGCGGAGCGGUGGUGGCGAUUUGUGGUGCCACGCAAGGCAGUGAUGGUGUGGAUGAGGGGUUUGGAUGCAGGUGAGGUGGCUACGCCAGCUCAGGAAUCAGUUUAGGGCACAGGAAAAAAUUCGCGGAUUGCUCCUCGAAAUGAAGGUGUCGAGGUAGAAUUGGAGUUGAAAUCAGUAUCGGGGAGUUGUAAUGGAUCGCGAGAAAUAAAGCUGGCAGUGUUUCUUCUGAAACACAAUUGGGUUCACGAAAAAGAAUCAGGGACGAGAAAUGGCCAGAUGAAAAUGGCCUCUUUGAGGUUCUGGGUUUGGAAAAUCUGGCACACGGGGUAUGCACAGAUAGAGAGGGAUAUGUGACUUUGCAUUCCCUCGAGUACUGCUCAAAUGUACUCAUGGGUGAACCGAGUAUGCGUGCAGUAUGCAGUCAAAUCUAAACAAACAGACAGAAGCAAUAACCAGGCAAAGGAAAAAUACACCAGACAAAUCACACUAAGGUGUUUUAAUGCUAGUGGGUAUAUGUACUCCUGGUAUACAUAUACCUACACCAUCGCGCAUUUUAUUAGAGACUCGAAACGAGUCAAUGUUUUUUUAGUGUAUGUGUUCUACUGAUUAAAAUCUUGUUAGGACACAUUGCCAACCCUGUCAAACAUUUCUGUUUGAUAGAGAGACAAGCAAAAACAAACACACAAACAAAAGCAAACAAGCAAAUAACACAGCAGACGGGUUACAACAGUACCAACAUACAACAAAGCACAAACGCACUACGCGCUAAUCAAAACUACUCACUCCGGGAUAGAUGGUUCCAUCCUCAUAUCAGGGAUGAACCGACAGACCGAUCGACUAGCAGGAACCAUUGACUGCAUGACUGAGGUCAGGCAGAAGACUAGCCUUGCUGGGGCUCCCCUGGAGGACGAAGACUGAGCCAAUCUCCAUCUUCAUCGUCCGACACUUCUAUGGGUUGGGGUGGUGGGGCUGAAAUUGCUCCAGGAAAAUGCUGCUGAUGGAUCUGGAGAAGAGACUUGUCGAGGGUGAUGAUGUUUGGCUUGGGCCAUAGCACAAGUUGACAUGAUGGCACUGGUUCGGAUGGCAUUGGGUCAACAGCUUGAGAUGCGAACUUACGAGCCUCACGGUAUGCUUCCUUGACAACUCGUACCACAUUAUUAUCCAUGGCUCUAAACUCGGCAAGCAGCAUAGAAAUCAAUAUCCCCUGGGCAGUGAUGUAUUGCACCAGGAGAGCGAUUGUGGGAUCAUCUCCUUGGCUAACGGGAGAAGGCUGCAUGACUGUGUUUGACACAGUGGGGAAAAAGCAGAACUCCUGCCUUGUUGCUACAUGCGGGAAGUUGGUUCGGAGGUGUAGGAUAGCCUCCAUAGCAGCGGCUUGAAUGGCUAAACCAGAGGUAGGCAUGGCCCUACCCAGUAAAACCAAAGGCUGGACAUCUGCUGCAGGGCCUAGGCUGAUGUGCACUCUUGCAACAAAGCGAUGAAGGUGAGGGACGGGUGUAGAUUGGAACACCAGGUAAUCGGGGCUAGUAUUACCGCCAAAUGCUUUGGUGAGCAUCUCGGCAAGAAGAGGUGGAAAGCCAGGGUGGUUGACAGCAUAGGUGCGGGUGUAAUAGGUGGGAGUUUUGGAGCUGCUAGUCAUGGCUGGGGAGCUACUAGCUAAGCUUCUCUGCAGGGACAUGGCGGACUAAGGAGCAAGCGAUACGGCUAGCGGAAAGGGCAUUUAUAGGCAGCUACACGGGAUAGGCCCGCAUGGCGUGGCCCCUUUCCCUUAAUGGUGAAGGGAAAGCGGUGCGGCCGACCAGAAAGGAUAGGGUUGCUGCACGUUCCACGGAUAAAUAGGCGGGGACAGCGGGGUGAGGACGUGUCGGUCCCGACUGCGCCGCCUGUUGAUUAACAGUGGCCAUGCCGGAUGCCAGGGAUGGGUCAAAUCUCUUAGGGUCAUUAUGGGUUGAUGGUGGCGAUGAUCUAAUGCUAGGAUAAUCUAUGCCAGCAUGGCUGUUCUGAUACCGCCCUAUGGCACCCCGAUCCGCAUAGAGUAGGGGGCCUUCGUACGUCAGCCCAGGAUAACACCUGACGCAUGACAGGUCCAUGAUACAACAUUCCAGGUACAAGAAUAUUCAUCAAAUACUUGUGUAUUACAUCAGAGAUGAAUAUAAUCUUCUGGCAUAGCCCUAAGGCUAUUUACAUGGCAGCGGAAGUCUAUUAAAAUGGCGGCGGAAGUCUUGGUAGCAUAUCACUCUGGCUGGGAUCCACAACUCACAGGACUGGCAAGAUUACGACCUAGCACGACGGAACAAGUGAACGACCUAUAAAAAUGGCAUGACACGCCAGGUCAGUACAUUGAAUGUACUUGCAAGACAACCAAAUACAUAACAUCCAAACAAGCAGAAGACAAAGCAGGAAGCAAGCGAAUGCAACAACCUAUCUUAUAUCAAUUACUAAACAUGGCAUGAUAUCAAUUGAAGACAUAAAUUAGACUAACAUCAUGGCAGCCACUAGCAUGGCAACAACAUAGCAUAGCAAAUUUACUUCUGACAUGGCAACAACAAAACAUAGCAUAUCAUCUCAAUCAUAGCAAUCAACACAUGGCAUGGCAUCAUGAAACUAUGCUGAAAAUAAACUACCAAUCAUAUCAAAUGCAGACAUAGCAUGUUAACUGUAUGCAACCAUCUCAUGUUCUACCAUGGUUCUUUAAAUGCAAACAUGUUACUCAUGCAAUGCCACCAAACUUGUGCACUGCGUCCCUCGGACUCUCUUACCAACGGUGAUCACCUCAUUUCUUGAUCACAAACAGAGACAAAGCUCGUGAUCCUUAUGGCCAUCACAACCCGGCCAACAACUGGCCCAUGAUCCUUACGGCGAUCACAACCCGACCAAUAAAUGGCCCGUGAUCCUUACGGCGAUCACAACCCGACCAACAACUAGCCCGUGGUCCUUAUGGCGAUCACAACCCGACCAACAACUGGCCCGUGAUCCUUACGGCGAUCACAACCACAUUAAUCAGCUUAAUUAUUUCAGGUUUAUCCUCCAUUUCGACCAAGACCCGAUAGUGUACCCUACUACGAACGUAUGCCCAUGACCGAGGACGCGGCUAUCGAUAGUUUAAAUACACUCUACAGAGGUAGUGCACUGUACCCACACCACAGAACCCAUGGCCUCGUCAUCCCAUUCGG
rnacentral:lncRNA from 1 species